rnacentral:ribozyme from 1 species
UCGUCUUCUUUCUCCUUGGAGCGACCAACGGAGCCGCCGGGACGAUUGCUGACCCAUGCGUCCCAGUCGACGGCACAACGUUUGUUCUAAAGCUGGACCCAUUUGCUUCC